UGGAACUUGGCUGUGGUUGAUGGACUAAACU
rnacentral:piRNA from 1 species